UAAUUUAAGGUCUAACCUGCCCACUGAAUUUUUAAAUGGCCGUGGUAUUUUUACCGUGCUAAGGUAGCAUAAUCAUUAGUUUUUUAAUUAAGAACUGGAAUGAAAGGUUGGAUAAGAAAAUAGCUGUCUCUAUUAAAUUUUAUUAGAAUUUUAUUUUUAAGUUAAAAAGCUUAAAUAUAUUUAAAAGACGAGAAGACCCUAUAGAGUUUGAUUGUUUAAUAAAAGUUACUUUUUAGUAUUUAUAUAUUUAUUUUAUUUAACAAUUUAAUUGGGGUGAUUGAAAAAUUAAGCUAACUUUUUUUAUUUAAAUUCAUUAAUUUAUGAAUUAAUGAUCCAAUAUUUUUGAUUAUAAGAUAAAAUUACCUUAGGGAUAACAGCGUAAUUUUUUUAAAGAGUUCAUAUUAAAAGAAAAGAUUGCGACCUCGAUGUUGGAUUAAAAUAAAUUUUUGGUGUAGGAGCUAAAAUAUUAGGUCUGUUCGACCUUUAAAAUUUUA
rnacentral:rRNA from 1 species